AACGCUAGCUACAGGCUUAACACAUGCAAGUCGAGGGGAAACGACAUCGAAAGCUUGCUUUUGAUGGGCGUCGACCGGCGCACGGGUGAGUAACGCGUAUCCAACCUGCCCACCACUUGGGGAUAACCUUGCGAAAGUAAGACUAAUACCCAAUGAUAUCUCUAGAAGACAUCUGAAAGAGAUUAAAGAUUUAUCGGUGAUGGAUGGGGAUGCGUCUGAUUAGCUUGUUGGCGGGGUAACGGCCCACCAAGGCGACGAUCAGUAGGGGUUCUGAGAGGAAGGUCCCCCACAUUGGAACUGAGACACGGUCCAAACUCCUACGGGAGGCAGCAGUGAGGAAUAUUGGUCAAUGGGCGAGAGCCUGAACCAGCCAAGUAGCGUGCAGGAAGACGGCCCUAUGGGUUGUAAACUGCUUUUAUAAGGGAAUAAAGUGAGAGUCGUGACUCUUUUUGCAUGUACCUUAUGAAUAAGGACCGGCUAAUUCCGUGCCAGCAGCCGCGGUAAUACGGAAGGUCCGGGCGUUAUCCGGAUUUAUUGGGUUUAAAGGGAGCGUAGGCCGGAGAUUAAGCGUGUUGUGAAAUGUAGGCGCUCAACAUCUGCACUGCAGCGCGAACUGGUUUCCUUGAGUACGCACAAAGUGGGCGGAAUUCGUGGUGUAGCGGUGAAAUGCUUAGAUAUCACGAAGAACUCCGAU
rnacentral:rRNA from 1 species